GUGGGUGAGCAGGAGAGGCGUGGGGUGGACCCUUGGGACUUUGGAAACGCAGCGCCUGGGAGGGGUGGCCGAGGAGUCAUGGGAGACCAGGGAGUCCUGGCCUCGGGAAGGCUGAGGACAGUGGGCCUGUCUGCGGGGCACAGUGACUACGUCCACAGAGCGCACACAGGACAACUGCCAUCUCCAUCCCCUGAGCCUGCCCACCCGCUCCUGGCUCUACCAGAGGGACCCGCUGGCCUGGACUGCACCCCGCGCAGCCACCCAGCGAGCCUUGUCCCCGCCGGCUGGCCGCACAGGUGUCAUUUGUCAUGAAUCGUGUGGGGCGCCGUGGCAUGUGCCUGUCACCCACGCAGCUCAGGAGGCUGAGGCAGGAGGAUCGUGAGUUUAAAGCCAGCCUCAGCAACUCAGGCCCCACAGGAAAGGCAGGCGAGAUAUGGUGUCCUGCUGCUGGAGGGACGUCCACCCCCAAGUGGUCCACACUGCACCUCUGACCUGGGCAGCAGCCGGGUGCAGGGCCCGCAGCGCUGACCUGACUCACAGUCCCUGCUCCCAGCCCCGGGGGCCACCUGCCGAUCCCCCAGGACCCCGCCCCGUCCUCAUGUACUCCAGGGCCACGCCUGACUCUGUCCUUAACCUGGUAAAUGGCUGCAAAUGGCGGAGAGGUUCCAAUGCAAAUGACUUUGUCCUGGGGAGACUGCAGCUGAUCAUCCAAGUGGCCUUGACCAGGCUUGCUCUGUCUGUGGGCCCAGAGACAGGGUCUCCCUGAGCUGCUCAGGGCCUCAGAGUUGCUGAGGCUGGCUUGGAACUCCAUCCUCCUGCCUCGGCCUCCCGAGCCGCUGGGACGACAGGUGUGGCCACCCCACUGCGCUCCCCAUCUUAACCCUCCCCGCCCUUCCUCAUCACGCUGGGUGUCUGCCGCAAUCAGCACAUGCCAAAGUCUCUCCAGAAUCUGCCUCCCCCUGGACCAGCCCAGUCCAUCCACCUGAUGCCCGUUCCCGCCCUCACUCACAGCCUGUCCUCCCCACAGCAGCCACUGGAGGGCGCGAAGGAGCACCUGACUCAGAGCCCUCCGGUAUCCUCUCUGGCUCCCACCUCCCUCUAGGUCAAAGCCAAGUCCUCCCUUGGCCCCCAAGGCCCUGCACAACCUGCCCCAGGCCCUCUCUGCCUCCCCUCCUUCUCUCUCCCCUCCUCCCUCUGUUCUAGCCACACGGGCUCCUUCCUUACUGUGCCCACCAGAUGCCAGACUUGGUCCUGCCCCUGGGCCUCUGCACACUGGUGCCCUCUGCCUGGGCCUGGGUUUGGCCGACUAUUCAGGUUCUUUGAGUCUGUGCACAGAUGCCAGCUGCUCAACAUCAGCCCCACAGGAGCAGGGGUCUUGACUGUCUCAUUCACUGCUGUACCCCAAUAGUCACGAACUGCGCACCUGGCAUACAGUAAGUGCUCAAUUAAUGCCAAUUCACUGCAAGGCAGCCCUGCCCCAGCCAUGCCUCCCACUGACCUCGGCCAUUCCAAAGGGUGUCAGGCUGCACCCUGAGCAAACACUGCUCCCUGGCGCCUGGCCAGGCUGAAGAGGAAGGACAGGAGCCCAGAUUCCCUGCUGUGGACUUUCCCCAGGACUCAGAGCCAGGCGGAAGUGCUGGGCCCAGCAGGCGGGACUUUUUCAAGAUGUUGAGCAUGGGGCAUUGGUUGGGGGACAGGGCCAGCCUCCAGACCACCCCCCUUCUGCAUUUGGGCUCUUGUCUGCAUGACAAUCCUACUUUACUGUGCAGCCCUGGCUCUUUCAGAUGACUGUGCUUUGCACAAGCUUGGGAAGCCACCUGGUGGCCGCGCCUGUGAUCCCAGCCACUCGGGAGGCUGAGGCAGGAGGAUCGCUAGUUCAAGAGACACGGCCUCACGAAGUUACUGAGGCUGGCCUGGAGCUGCCAUCCUCCCUCCUGAGCCUCCUCAGCCCUGGGAUGACGAAGGUGCGCACCGGAUGCGUGGAGACGUACCUACGCAUAUCCACUCUAACGCUCCAUCUCUAUCUCUAGUCACUUGUGGAUUUAACAGUUUUGCUUUUCUGCGUGGCGUGCUGGGGUGGAGCCCAGGGCCGCAUGCGCACUAGGCCAGCGCGGUGUCCUGAGAAGCACCCUGGUCCACCCAUCGACCCUACUCUGUCGGCGCUCAGCCUUUGAGCCGGCCUCACGCCUCCUGGUUCGCCUGCUGGCCAUCUUCAAGGUCGGGGAUUUUGUCUGGCUGAACCCUGGCAUCCCCUGUGGUCCAGAGCGCAGCAGGGUACACAGUAGGUGCUUGAUACAUUUGGGGCUGGAGGGCAGAUGGAUCGCAGCCAAGGGGAGCGGGGCGGGGACCUACCUGUGUUGACGUCAUAGGCGCCGUGGCCACCAGGGGGCGCUGGAAACCCGGCCACUACCCGCCGGGCAGCCUCAGUUUUCCAACCCUGCAAAAUGGGCAGGGAGUGGACAUGGAUCGCCGGGGCCAAGAGCGCUGCUGCCCGGGACCCGGCCCCGCUCACCACCCGCUGCCUACCCGCUCUGUCCCUCCGCCCCAGCGCCAAAGUCAUAAAGCUUCUUAUUUUCAUCGAAGGCGCACACACUGCGUUUCAAAGCGCGGAGCCGUCUCUGUCCUGCUGAGAACAUGGACAGCCCUUGCCUCCCGCGGUUCCCCCACGGGCCCCUCCUUGACCUUUCUUACAGAUUAUUUUGACAUUUACUUCCGUGUCUCAAUCACGACUUUUAUGCCACUUGUUGAUUUUCCAGUUUUGCUUUUUGGUGGUUUUUCCAAGUUGCUUCCUGUUCUUACUGGCGUCGUACCUAACCUUGCCCUUCCUGAACUGCCCGGGCCGGCGGAUGAUCUCCGAGUUGCCCUGGCACCUGAGUUGCCGAGCAGCCUCAUGAGCUCACACUGUGCCCUCCCACCGAUGCCUGGGCAGGUGCAUCGGGCGGUCCAGGUGGGCCAGGCGGCCUCCAGGGCCCGCACUUAGACGAGUCUCCUCUGGACAGCUCAGGUGUCCCCGCUGUUCACGACAGGGGUCAAGGGAGCUGGCAGGUGUAGGAUGCACCACGUGGCCACUGGUAAGGGAGCAGCUGGGGGCCUGGAGCCCUCGUACGGCGCACAGCUGUCCCCACAGAACUUUCUCUUCUUCCCACACUGAACUUCUGUCCCUUCAACACUAGCCGGUCCCCUCCCAGCCCCUGGCUCCCACUCUGCUGCUUCCUGUCUCUGUGGACCUGAGGACUCCAGGGACCGGCUGUGGGUGGACCCUGCAGUGUGUGCCCCUUUGUGCCCGGCUCUUGUCACUGAGCACUGUGUCCUCAGGGCACCUUGUGGCCGGUGUCAGAAUUUCUUCCCUUUUCCGGGCUCUGCGUGGACCAGUCUGACGCCUGACACUGUGCCUGUCCCCUUUGGGUGGACUCCCUUCUAGCUGGGCACAGCUAAUGGGGGCCCCUUUGCCCUCCCUGGGGCCUUGGCCAUUUCUUCCCUUUCUUGAUCUGCCUCCUGGGCCCACGCACAGCCUUGCCGCCGCAUCCUUGGGGCCGAGGUCUGACAACCACCUGCCCGGCUUCCUGGUUCCCCUCCGUCCAUCCCCAGGCCCCACAGCCCAGGCCCCUCCCUCCCGCUGCCUGAGAGAGGCGGUCCAGGCCUCUGAAUCAGGCCGCUCCUCACUAGCAGGGGCCACGCUGCCCGCUGCAGAGAAGGUUAAUGAACAGAACUAUUAAUAGCAGCUUAUUAACAGCCAGACCAGGACCUCAGGAUUCCUGACUGCCGAGCCUCCGAGCCUCCGUAGCAAAGCCAUCAUGGUGCUUCAGCAGCGGGACCCCUGUCCCCGUGUGCCACCUGCAGGACCCACCGGAGCACCAUUCUUGCGGAGCCACUGGCAGGGCGUGGUGUGGGACGGAACCAGGGCCUGGUGUGUGAGCAAGCGCUCACCAGGAGUAGAGCCCAGGUGGCUAGAGGCCUGAGGGCCCCUGUCGUGCACAUGCAGGAGAGGACCAGGACGGUGCCUAGGUCACCUAGGUGUCAGGCUGCCAGGAGCGUGGAAGUGAGGGACACGGAGACCUGGAACCGCAGAGAGCCAGUCCCUGGCUUCAGGAGGCCCCCACGCAGACCUCUGAGCCUGGAGUGGACAUCACCGCUCACGCCUUAGUCUAUUUUUAAUAUUUAUGUCUCAGUUGUAGGUGGGCACAACAUCUUUUUAUUUUAUUUAUUUAUUUUUAUGUGGUGCUGAGGAUCGCACCCAGGGCCCCACACACGCGAGGCGAGCGCUCUACCGCUGAGCCCAGCCCAGCCCCGCAACUUAGCAUUUCAAAUAAUCAUGUGGAGUCUGGGUGCCGUGGCGCAUCCCUGUGAUCCCAGCCACGGUGUGUGGCAGGAGGGUGGCGAGUUCAAGGCCAGCCUCAGCAACUUAGCAAGACUCCAUCUCAAAAUAAAGAAUAAAAAAGGCUGGGAACGUGGCUCAGUGGUAGAGCACUUGCCCAGCGUGUGCACCACCCUAGGUUCCCACCCUCCAGUACCAGAAAAUAAAAAGGUGGGAGAGUCAUAUACAUUAACAUUUAUGUUAUAGCAACACACAUUUUGGCUUACUGAUGUUAAUAUUUAUAUCAUAUAUAAUAUACAUAUUAUGCUUAAUAAAAUACAACAAAUUGUUAGCAUAUUACAUCUAUUGUUGAUAUUCACAAAUAAUAAGAAUUUACUAUGAUCAUAUAGAUACAGAUAUAAACAUUCCAGUAUAUAUGUAUAUACUUAAGUAAUAGUAUUUUAAAUAUUUUUUAGUUGUACAUGAACACAGACCUUUAUUUGUUUAUCUUUAUGUGGUGCCGCGGAUCCAACCCAGUUCCUCAUGCAUACCACUCACUGACCACUACCCCUGCCCAUCAGUGUAUAUUUACCUAUGUACAUUGUGUUUAUAUGUGAAUGUGCUUCUAUAACUCACAUAAGUUCAUAUAAAUGUAAAUGAGUACUAGUACAUGAAUAAUGUAAGUGUAUUAUAUAUGAUGUACAAAUGUAAUUCUUUCCUUAUAUAUUUGUUACUCAUAUAGAUACAUAUUAUAUUAAUAGUAUCAGUGUAUUGAUAUUAUCCUAUGUAACCAUAAUAUGCAAAUGUAAAUACUUAUAUAUUUGUAUCACUCAUAAAACAUAAAUGCAAGCAUGA